rnacentral:misc_RNA from 1 species
UUCCAGGAUUCUUCAAUGUAA